GGUCGAGUCGUAUAAAGGUUAGUACAUGAGUCUCACAAUCAUCUGAGAAUGAGACCUCACUCAAGAUCCGGGUUCGAUUCCCGGCUCGACUA
rnacentral:tRNA from 1 species